GACGAACGCUGGCGGCGUGCUUAACACAUGCCAGUCGAACGGAAAGGCCCUGCUUUUGUGGGGUGCUCGAGUGGCGAACGGGUGAGUAACACGUGAGUAACCUGCCCUUGACUUUGGGAUAACUUCAGGAAACUGGGGCUAAUACCGGAUAGGAGCUCCUGCUGCAUGGUGGGGGUUGGAAAGUUUCGGCGGUUGGGGAUGGACUCGCGGGUUAUCAGCUUGUUGGUGGGGUAGUUGCUUACCAAGGCUUUGACGGGUAGCCGGCCUGAGAGGGUGACCGGCGACAUUGGGACUGAGAGACGGCCCAGACUGCUACGGGAGGCAGCAGUGGGGAAUAUGGCACAAUGGGCGGAAGCCUGAUGAAGCAACGCCGCGUGCGGGAUGACGGCCUUCGGGUUGGAAACCGCUUUAGCCUGUGACGAAGCGUGAGUGACGGUAAUGGGUAAAGAAGCACCGGCUAACUACGUG
rnacentral:rRNA from 1 species